UCCUAGUUUCCUAGGCAGUCCCGUUAGAGUGCUUCUAUUUCUAGCUAGCAACUAACAGCAAGGGUUGCGCUCGUUCAAGGACUUAACCCGACGUCUCACGACACGAGCUGACGACAGCCAUGCAGCACCUGUGUAACCGUCCGUAUUGCUACGGAACCCAAUGUUUCCACCAGUAGCGAUUACAUGUCAAACCCAGGUAAGGUUCCUCGCGUAGUGUCGAAUUAAACCACAUGUUCCACCGCUUGUGCGGACCCCCGUCAAUUCCUUUGAGUUUUAAUCUUGCGACCGUACUCCCCAGGUGGAUCACUUAUCGCGUUAGCUACGACACAGAAUCUGCUAUGCAAAUCCCACAUCUAGUGAUCAUCGUUUACGGCGUGGACUAC
rnacentral:misc_RNA from 1 species